UCGCAAUGGAGAACUCUGACCGAGCAACGCCGCGUGACGAUGAAGUAUUUCGGUACGUAAGUUCUUUUAUUAGGGAAGAAUAAUGAUGGAAAAUCAUUCUGACGGUACCUAAUGAAUAAGCCCCGGCUAACUAUGUGCCAGCAGCCGCGGUAAUUCAUAGGGGCAAGCGUUUCCGGAAUUAUUGGGCGUAAAGGGUGCGUAGGCGGUUAAAUAAGUUUAUGGUCUAAGUGCAAUGCUUAACAUUGUGAUGCUAUAAAAACUGUUUAACUAGAGUAAGAUAGAGGCAAGUGGAAUUCCAUGUGUAGUGGUAAAAUGCGUAAAUAUAUGGAGGAACACCAGUAGCGAAGGCGGCUUGCUGGGUCUUUACUGACGCUGAGGCACGAAAGCGUGGGGAGCAAACAGGAUUAGAUACCCUGGUAGUCCACGCCGUAAACGAUGAGUACUAAAUGUUGGGUAAAACCAGUGUUGAAGUUAACACAUUAAGUACUCCGCCUGAGUAGUACGUACGCAAGUAUGAAACUUAAAGGAAUUGACGGGACUCCGCACAAGCGGUGGAUCAUGUUGUUUAAUUCGAAGGUACCCGAAAAACCUCACCAGGUCUUGACAUGCUUCUGCAAAGCUGUAGAAACACAGUGGAGGUUAUCAGUUGCACAGGUGGUGCAUGGUUGUCGUCAGCUCGUGUCGUGAGAUGUUGGGUUAAGUCCCGCAACGAGCGCAACCCUUAUUGUUAGUUGCCAGCACGUAAUGGUGGGACUUUAGCAAGACUGCCAGUGAUAAAUUGGAGGAAGGUGGGGACGACGUCAAAUCAUCAUGCCCCUUAUGACCUGGGCUACAAACGUGAUACAAUGGCUG
rnacentral:rRNA from 1 species